UGCGGCGUAGGCCCUGCUGUCAAACUCAUAACCUGAAGGUCAUAGGUUCAAAUCCUAUCCCCGCAACCA
rnacentral:tRNA from 1 species